CGCAUCUGUGCAUGCAGCAUAUCAAUAAGCGGAGGAAAAGAAACUAACAAGGAUUCCCUUAGUAACGGCGAGUGAAGCGGGAAGAGCUCAAAUUUGAAAUCUUCAAGGGUUUACCUUUACGAAUUGUAGUUUAAAGAAGUGUUUUCUGUUGAGGUCUUGGUAAAAGUUCUUUGGAAUAGGACAUCAUAGAGGGUGAGAAUCCCGUAUUUGACCUUUACUUUCAACUUUGUGAUACACUUUCAAAGAGUCGGAUUGUUUGGGAAUGCAGUCCAAAAUGGGUGGUAAAUUUCAUCUAAAGCUAAAUAUUGGCGAGAGACCGGUAGCGAACAAGUACCGUGAGGGAAAGAUGAAAAGAACUUUGAAAAGAGAGUUAAACAGUACGUGAAAUUGUCAAAAGGGAAGCGUUUGACACCAGUGUUGUUUUUCUGAAAAUCAAUUAAAGAACUGUUUAUGCUAAGUUGUUUAGACUUUAUCAGCUAUCUGUUUAGUUUUGAGCUUUUCUUUAAUGCACUUUUCAGUUAACAAGUCAACAUCAAUUUCUUUUGCUGUAAAAAAGCUUGAGGAAGGUGGCUUGAGAUUCGUCUUAAGUGUUUAUAGCCUCUUGCCUAUGCAGUCGGAGAGAUUGAGGUCUGCAGCGUAGAUCCUUCGGGGCUAAAUGCAUUUGUGCUAAGUUAUAGCAUUUUAUAGACAACUUGUUGACUAUGAUUUGUCUUGUAGCUUACUCGCUUAUGUUAUUUUACCUACGCUUAGGAUGUUGACGAGACUGUCGAUCUC
rnacentral:rRNA from 1 species